rnacentral:rRNA from 1 species
AUAUUGGACAAUGGGCGCAAGCCUGAUCCAGCAAUGCCGCGUGAGUGAUGAAGGCCUUAGGGUUGUAAAGCUCUUUCGCACGCGACGAUGAUGACGGUAGCGUGAGAAGAAGCCCCGGCUAACUUCGUGCCAGCAGCCGCGGUAAUACGAAGGGGGCUAGCGUUGUUCGGAAUUACUGGGCGUAACGGGCGCGUAGGCGGCCUGUUUAGACAGAAGUGAAAGCCCCGGGCUCAACCUGGGAAUAGCUUUUGAUACUGGCAGGCUUGAGUUCCGGAGAGGAUGGUGGAAUUCCCAGUGUAGAGGUGAAAUUCGUAGUUACUGGUAGGAACACCCAUUGCGAAGGCAGCUCGCUGUACAACACGUGCCGCUGAGGCGCGAAAGUGUGGGGAGCAAACC